rnacentral:rRNA from 1 species
GAAAUGCGAUAAGUAAUGUGAAUUGCAGAAUUCAGUGAAUCAUCGAAUCUUUGAACGCACCUUGCACCCUUUGGCAUUCCGAAGGGUAUGCUCGUUUGAGUGUCAUUGUACUCUCACACUCGUAAUCUUUUCGAUCGCGAGCGGUGGACUUGGGUGCUGCUGCUUACCCGCGGCUCACCUCAAAUCGAUUCGUGCACCUCUUGGUUGGACAUAGUACGGCGUGAUAAGUGUCUUCGCCGGCGCCUCAUUGCGAGGGUGGCCGAUCGGGAGCUCUGUGCUUCAAACCGUCCUCGGACAACAACUGACAACUUGACCUCAAAUCGAGUAGGACUACCCGCUGAACUUAAGCAUAUCAAUAAGCGGAGGAAAAGAAACU